rnacentral:misc_RNA from 1 species
CCAAUAGCGUAUAUUAAAGUUGUUGCAGUUAAAAAGCUCGUAGUUGAAUUUCGGGAUCAAUUUGUCGGUCGUGCCUCGGUACGUACUGGCAUUAUUGGUUUCUCCCUUCUGACGAACCACGAUGUCAUUAAUUUGGUGUCGCGGGAAAUCAGGACUGUUACUUUGAAAAAAUUAGAGUGUUUAAAGCAAGCUCACGCUUGAAUACAUUAGCAUGGAAUAAUGAAAUAGGACGUUUGAUUCUAUUUUGUUGGUUUCUAGGAUCGACGUAAUGAUUAAUAGGGAUAGUUGGGGGCAUUAGUAUUCAAUUGUCAGAGGUGAAAUUCUUGGAUUUAUUGAAGACUAACUACUGCGAAAGCAUUUGCCAAGGAUGUUUUCAUUAAUCAAGAACGAAAGUUAGGGGAUCGAAGACGAUCAGAUACCGUCGUAGUCUUAACCAUAAACUAUGCCGACUAGGGAUCGGAUGAUGUUAAUUUUUUAAUGACUCAUUCGGCGCCUUACA